rnacentral:rRNA from 1 species
UACAGAGGUCUCAAGCGUUGUUCGGAUUCAUUGGGCGUAAAGGGUGCGUAGGCGGCGCGGUAAGUCGGGUGUGAAAUCUCGGGCUUAACUCCGAAACUGCAUUCGAUACUGCCGUGCUUGAGGACUGGAGAGGAGACUGGAAUUUACGGUGUAGCGGUGAAAUGCGUAGAUAUCGUGAGGAAGACCAGUGGCGAAGGCGGGUCUCUGGACAGUUCCUGACGCUGAGGCGCGAAGGCCAGGGGGAGCAAACGGG